rnacentral:misc_RNA from 1 species
UUCGGAAGUUUAGCCAAUCUUGGCGAACAACAAAUGGAAGAACUAGCUUCAGGAUUGAUGAUGAGCGAUUUCUACUUCUUGUGGGUUGUUAGAGUUACAGAAGAGAACAAACUUACAGAGGAAUUCAUGUCCAAGCCGAAAGAGAAAUGUCUCAUUGUGAAUUGGUGCCCUCAACUCGAUGUGUUGUCACAUCAAGCAGUUGGAUGUUUCUUUACUCAUUGUGGAUGGAAUUCGA